rnacentral:rRNA from 1 species
AUGGUUGCUGCUGGACUCUACCCCUCCAAGUUGCCCGGACGCCUCCCCAACUCUCCCUCCUCCCCAACAAGGCCGCUGCCGUCCUGGCGGCGUGCCUCGGCCCCGCGGCGGCGGACCAGCCCGGAUCCGUCGAGGGAUACACCAUCGCCGGCCGCCGCUCAUUCGUGCCUUCCUGUUACUGAGGUUGGGGAGCAGGAUCUGGCGCUGGGGUUCAAGGUCAACGCCAAGGGCACUGCUGCUGCACGCCUUCAUCAGCGUCUUCUCCUGGCACAACGAGACCAUCAACAUCUGGACGCACCUGCUCGGCUUCUUCUUGUUCUCGGGAAUUUUUAG